AGGCUAUAAGUAAUUUGAACCAGUAAUUUACAGGGCAUUUGCUAAUUGAAGUUCCUUAUUCUUUUCUUUAUGUAGUUUGCUUCAUGCAACUCAUCUCUACCAUGAAAGAAGGCAUAAACCUACAUAAGUAAACUCAGAGAAACUGUAAGAAAACAUAUAAGCAACUAGCUUGAAUAACUACUUUUCGCAAUCCUAAUGCUCACCUAAGCUCACCAGCUAUGAAGAAAUUUGAAGACAACAACAAAAAUCUGAAAUCUUAUUUAUUACGUAUCAAAUGGACUCAGGAGUUCCCCCAAACACUUCAGUAGGCAAAGUUCUUUGGCCCUAAUUGAGUCAA
rnacentral:lncRNA from 1 species